rnacentral:rRNA from 1 species
AACGAACGCUGGCGGCAGGCCUAACACAUGCAAGUCGAACGCCGUAGCAAUACGGAGUGGCAGACGGGUGAGUAACACGUGGGAACGUACCCUUCGGUUCGGAAUAACUCAGGGAAACUUGAGCUAAUACCGGAUACGUCCGAGAGGAGAAAGAUUUAUCGCCGAGGGAUCGGCCCGCGUCUGAUUAGCUUGUUGGUGAGGUAACGGCUCACCAAGGCGACGAUCAGUAGCUGGUCNGAGAGGAUGAUCAGCCACAUUGGGACUGAGACACGGCCCAAACUCCUACGGGAGGCAGCAGUGGGGAAUAUUGGACAAUGGGCGCAAGCCUGAUCCAGCCAUGCCGCGUGAGUGAUGAAGGCCCUAGGGUUGUAAAGCUCUUUUACCCGGGAAGAUAAUGACUGUACCGGGAGAAUAAGCCCCGGCUAACUUCGUGCCAGCCGCCGCGGUAAG